GACGAACGCUGGCGGCGUGCCUAAUACAUGCAAGUAGAACGCUGAAGAGAGGAGCUUGCUCUUCUUGGAUGAGUUGCGAACGGGUGAGUAACGCGUAGGUAACCUGCCUUGUAGCGGGGGAUAACUAUUGGAAACGAUAGCUAAUACCGCAUAACAAUGGAUGACACAUGUCAUUUAUUUGAAAGGGGCAAUUGCUCCACUACAAGAUGGACCUGCGUUGUAUUAGCUAGUAGGUGAGGUAAUGGCUCACCUAGGCGACGAUACAUAGCCGACCUGAGAGGGUGAUCGGCCAAACUGGGACUGAGACACGGCCCAGACUCCUACGGGAGGCAGCAGUAGGGAAUCUUCGGCAAUGGGGGCAACCCUGACCGAGCAACGCCGCGUGAGUGAAGAAGGUUUUCGGAUCGUAAAGCUCUGUUGUAAGUCAAGAACGGGUGUGAGAGUGGAAAGUUCACACUGUGACGGUAGCUUACCAGAAAGAGACGGCUAACUACGUG
rnacentral:rRNA from 1 species